CGGCAAUUAACGGGUUAAUCCGAAGCAUCAAGACUUUGAAAUCACAUACACAGAACAAUAUUCAUUAAGAAAGUGAAAUUAAAUGAUUAAUAAACUAUUUAUUCGAACCCUUGCUAUUUUCUAUUCUAAUAAGAGUCUUGGCUGUGGAACACCUGUAAUAGAGUUGGCUAGCUGGAUGCAAAUAAAGUCAUGCCUUUUAUUUGUUCCCCUGUUUGCUAUUUCACAUUCCUGUCACUGAAGCGUUGUGGCCAAAGACACAGAAGGUAACUGAAACAAUGUGGUUUAAGUCCAGGUGAUCAUAAGGGGUCCAAGCACAAUGGUUUGUGUAGAUGAUGCAGUUACACAAUGGAUGUGUCUCUUUUCAAGUAAAUUAUUAUAUGCACAACAUGAAAAUAGAUAACAAAUAUAGUGUCCCUUCUUCACUUUCUCAGUAAUGCGUGAUAACUUGAGAAAUAUGUUGUCAAUACUAUUAAAAUAAGACAAAAAAGUAAUGGUAUUUAGGAGAUGAUA
ensembl:lncRNA